AGUGAACGCUGGCGGCGUGCUUAACACAUGCAAGUCGAACGAGAACGGGUUAUAGCUUGCUAUAAUUGUCAGCUAAGUGGCGCACGGGUGAGUAAUGUAUAGGUAAUAUGCCUCUUACUAAGGGAUAACAAAUGGAAACGUUUGCUAAUACCCUAUACUCCUUAUUAACAGAAGUUAAUAAGGGAAAGAUUUAUUGGUAAGGUAUUAGCCUGUAUUUGAUCAGUUAGUUGGUGGGGUAAUGGCUUACCAAGACUAUGACACAUAACUGGUUUGAGAGAAUGAUCAGUCACACUGGAACUGAGACACGGUCCAGACUCCUACGGGAGGCAGCAGUGGGGAAUAUUGCACAAUGGACGAAAGCCUGAUGCAGCAACGCCGCGUGGAGGAUGACACAUUUCGGUGCGUAAACUCCUUUUAUAUGAGAAGAUAAUGACGGUACCAUCAAAGGAAGCACCGGCUAACUCCGUGCCAGCAGCCGCCGUAA
rnacentral:rRNA from 1 species